rnacentral:rRNA from 1 species
GACGAACGCUGGCGGCGUGCUUAACACAUGCAAGUCGAACGGGCCCGCCCCUGUUUUUGGGGGUGGGUUGAGUGGCGAACGGGUGAGUAUCACGUGAGUAACCUGCCCCCUGCUCCUGGAUAACUGCUUGAAAGGGCGGCUAAUACGGGGUGUGCCGGCUGGUCCGCAUGGGCCUGGUCGGGAUAGUUUCAUCUUCGGGUGUUUCGGUGGGGGAUGGGCUCGCGGCCUAUCAGCUUGUUGGUGGGGUGAUGGCCCACCAAGGCGGUGACGGGUAGCCGGCCUGAGAGGGUGGGCGGCCACACUGGGACUGAGACACGGCCCAGACUCCUGCGGGAGGCAGCAGUGGGGGGUAUGGCACAAUGGGCGGAAGCCUGAUGCAGCGACGUCGCGUGAGGGAUGGAGGCCUUCGGGUUGUGAACCUCUUUCUCCGGUGGUGAAGGCCCUGUCCGUUGCGGCGGGGUUGACGGUAGCCGGGUAUGAAGCGCCGGCUAACUACGUG